rnacentral:sRNA from 1 species
CUGUCUUCCUCUCUCGCCCCUUGGCUUCUCUUCCCGGCCCCGUGGUGGCUGCAGCCCAGCCCUGGGGAGCCCCUGUGGAAGUGGAGUCCUUCCUGGUCCACCCCGGUGACCUGCUGCAGCUUCGCUGUCGGCUGCGGGACGAUGUGCAGAGCAUCAACUGGCUGCGGGACGGGGUGCAGCUGGCGGAAAGCAACCGCACCCGCAUCACAGGGGAGGAGGUGGAGGUGCAGGACUCCAUGCCCGCAGACUCCGGCCUCUAUGCUUGCGUAACCAGCAGCCCCUCGGGCAGUGACACCACCUACUUCUCCGUCAAUGUUUCAGAUGCUCUCCCCUCCUCGGAGGAUGAUGAUGAUGAUGAUGACUCCUCUUCAGAGGAGAAAGAAACAGAUAACACCAAACCAAACCGUAUGCCCGUAGCUCCAUAUUGGACAUCCCCAGAAAAAAUGGAAAAGAAAUUGCAUGCAGUGCCGGCUGCCAAGACAGUGAAGUUCAAAUGCCCUUCCAGUGGGACCCCAAACCCCACACUGCGCUGGUUGAAAAAUGGCAAAGAAUUCAAACCUGACCACAGAAUUGGAGGCUACAAGGUCCGUUAUGCUACCUGGAGCAUCAUAAUGGACUCCGUGGUGCCCUCUGACAAGGGCAACUACACCUGCAUUGUGGAGAAUGAGUACGGCAGCAUCAACCACACGUACCAGCUGGAUGUCGUGGAGCGGUCCCCUCACCGG